UGCUUUUGGGCUGUGAGGGAGGAGGUCUAGGGAGAGAAGAUAUUUUGGGAGGAUGUUGCUCUUAGUUUGAGGGAAAGCUGCUAGGGGGUGGGAUCUUUCUGCUUGAGGGGAGCCAGAGGAGAAGACUACUGAGGAGCUUUCUUUGGGCAGGGGAAGGGCAUUUCCUGGAGAUCCACAGAAGAAGCAAGAAACAAAGGAGAGAGGCUGCAGCUUGCUGAGAACCAAAUGACUUUUGAUCGAAAGGAUCGCUCAGGUUCUCCGCUUCAACCCUCCCAUACCUGUGUCACUCUCUAACCAAACAGACUCGCCGGCCGGAAAGACGUCAAGCAUGGACCUAGACGACCUAGAUGGUCCGAACCGGGCUCCUGUGAGGCGGCCCUCCCGUUUCGCACCCAAAUCCUCCAAACCUAAGCUCAUCCCAAAACCAGAACCAUCAUCUCAACCUGAACCAUCCAAGCUCGAUGAUGUAACUCUUAUCAAUAAGAAGGAAGAAGACUCUCAACCUCCGCUGGUCAAGAAAGCUGACGAGCCCUUCGCUUCAUCUACUCAAAACGGCGUUAUCGAGAUGGAGGUGGAAGCCAAAGCGGAAGUGGAGGACGCCAUGGAGGAAGACGACCGCGAUGAAGAUCCAGUGGUCCGUGAAAUUGAUGUCUUCUUCACUCCGCCUCCCACUGAUGACAACACUAAGAUAUAUGUUCUGCAGUAUCCUCUAAGACCGUACUGGCGUCCGUACGAAUUGGGCGAAAGAUGUGAUGAGGUUAGGGUGAAACCUGCUAGCGCAGAAGUAGAAGUGGAUUUGUCUAUUGAUGUCGAUUCCAAAAAUUAUGAUCCUGAUGCUCCUAAUGCGCAGAGGAUGAAGAAGCAGACUUUGUCGACUUCAUGGAAACCACCUCAAACAACUGGCUAUGUCGUAGGAGUUUUGAUGGGGAAUAAGCUACACCUGAAUCCUAUUCAUGCAGUGGUGCAGCUCCGGCCAUCAAUGGAAUAUCUGAGUUCUGGUGGUGCAAAAAGAAAGAACAAUGUUACAGGCGACACAAACAGUGCAGUUAAGCUAGAGGUUUCUAACGAAGAAGAAUCUGUUGGGUCAUUGAAGAAACAGAACAAGAUAAUGGGAAUUUUGGAUGAGCAAAACACAGAUGCUGCAGAGAGUUGGGUUCCACUCAAGUACCAUAGCUCGGAGAGUGAUUUCUCAGCAAGAUAUCUACAAAAAAUGGUGGCAGAAGACAACUCUCCUAUCCAGUUUUUAAUGAGCCCGUAUGAAUAUGUCAACUCCUUGUGUCCCCCCGGAGUGUCUAAUGAUGAUAACAGAUCAAAAGGUCUUUCAAGAAGGUUCUUACUUUCAAUGCCUCUGGAAGAACGUUUUAAGACAUUGCUUUGUGAGAAAUUUUCUUUGCAGGGGCCUCCAGUUCAUCGAUUCAGUGCUCUUAAGCACUUCGCUCCUGAUAACUCUGUUGAAGAUGUUCUAGGAGUCCUUACGAAACAUGCUCAUUUAGUGCAAGGACUGUGGGUUCCAAAGAGUUCAUUGUUAUUUCCUGGAGGUCAAGGUGUUGCACCAUUAGCUAGAGAUUACAUUCUUCUUUUAUUUAGCAAGGGUCCUUUAAUCAACUAUUCUCAAGUAGACGUUCCAGGAUCUCUUAAUAAAGCUCUGAAGGGCUUUCUGAGUAUAUUAGCUGUCGAAAGACCUUCCUUUAGGGAUUGGAAGUUUAAAGAGCCUACAGAUGUGUCAUUUAUGAAACUGCAUCCAGACAUUGUUAGGGAGCAAAGACGAGUUUGGGAAAGUCUGGAAAAACAGAUAACUGAUAUUAUUCAUGGAGGUGGAAGGAGAGGUCCUGUCACAAAGAAUUCUGGGAAGCCUAGCAUUGCAAAUAAAACUGGAACAUCAACAAAAUCUGAUGGAGCAACAAGAGCUACAAAUGGAACCCCUGUCAGGAGAACAGCCAUGUCAGCCGAAACUCGAGAAGCUCUACCAAAAGCUCUGGAAGAAGUUUUUAGAUUGCACAAGGUUUGCAGCUUCCAACUGAUUUGCCAAGCUUUGCGGGAUUUAGCGGUUUCAAAGUCUACUAGCCCAAAGGUGGAUCCUAGGACAUUUGUGGCUGCAGCAUACGGUGCUGAUGCUCCUCAAGAGGAGUUGCAUGCAAUUAUAAGUAAAUAUGCAACAACUGUACAUGGUGUUUAUGUUUGGAAGACUUCUGAACAUUCAGAACACAAUCCAUUAAGGAAAGUUGUCGUUGAUCUUUUUUGUGGAAAAGAACCUAAUGCUAAGCUUAAGAGGGCUGAUAUCAUGGAAGCUGCCAAGAUUGCGCUUAAAAAAGAGAUCACCACCCAUGAAUAUAACAAGGUUGUAAGUGAAUUAUGUGAAUCCAGGGGCUCUCUGUGGGUUUUGAAAAGCGGUGAUGGAAAGCCAAAAUGAUUCUCUUGUGCAGUUUUCUAUAUUGAUUACAAUUAUUGUUGUAAGGCUUUUGAAGCAUGCACGCACAGGGGAUGCAUGCACUCCAUGAUUAAGACUUGGAAUGAUCACAACUCCAUGCCGACUGGGAAAAAGUGUAUAGUAUGAAGAGGAAUCGGAAGUUGCAGGUGAAGUUCUCGGCAGCUCUUUUUCAACUGGGGCAGUUUUGUGGAGACUGGUUAGUAAAGUAGGAGAUAUCGCUGGUAACAUUGUGUGUUUUUCUUAGCAUUAGGCUUCCCUCAGAGAUUGGCAAUUGCGAGAAUUCGCCUUGACAGUGAUAACAUCAUUACUUAUGUUGACGAUGUUGUUGUUUUUUUCCGUUAUUUUCCUUAAUAGUCGUUACUCUUAAAUCAGAAAUCCAAAUGCCAAUAAUCAUUUCCUUGGCCGUCGGUGCUUUUAGCUCGGCGCUAUAUUUGGAACACAAAGUUCAUUUAUAGGUGGAGUGGGAGUCACGGCAUGUUCAGUUUGUUCUAGUGACGACUUUGAUUGACCCAUGCUUCCAAUGACUACGUAGACUCUAAUGCUGAAUCUUAACCUAUUAUAUGCUUUUUGUUCCAAAAAUAUUACAAAAUGUAAUUUCUAUUUUCAAUUCAUCCGAAUGGAAGACUCUCUGCCUUCUUGCUUA